rnacentral:rRNA from 1 species
AGAAUGAACGUUGGCGGCGUGGAUUAGGCAUGCAAGUCGUGCGUAAAGAGUAGCAAUACUCGGAAGCGGCGUAAGGGAGAGUAAUACAUAGGUAUUUACCCUGGGGUCUGGGAUAGCGGCGGGAAACUGCCGGUAAUACCAGAUGAUAUCUCCGGAUCAAAGGUGUGAUUCCGCCCUAGGAGAAGCCUGUGGUCUAUUAGCUAGUUGGUAGGGUAACGCCUACCAAGGCAAAGAUGGAUAUGGGGCGUGAGAGCGUGCCCCCACUCACUGGGACUGAGACACUGCCCAGACACCUACGGGUGGCUGCAGUCGAGAAUCUUCGGCAAUGGGCGCAAGCCUGACCGAGCGACGCCGCGUGCGGGGUGAAGGCCUUCGGGUUGUAAACCGCUGGUCGGAAGGGGAGGAAAUUGUAGUGGUUCACCCAUUAUAUUGACCGAUCCGUUGGAGGAAGGCCGCUAAUCUCGUGCCAGCAGCCGC